rnacentral:rRNA from 2 species
AAAUUGAAGAGUUUGAUCAUGGCUCAGAUUGAACGCUGGCGGCAGGCCUAACACAUGCAAGUCGAACGGUAACAGGAAGCAGCUUGCUGCUUUGCUGACGAGUGGCGGACGGGUGAGUAAUGUCUGGGAAACUGCCUGAUGGAGGGGGAUAACUACUGGAAACGGUGGCUAAUACCGCAUAACGUCGCAAGACCAAAGAGGGGGACCUUCGGGCCUCUUGCCAUCAGAUGUGCCCAGAUGGGAUUAGCUUGUUGGUGAGGUAACGGCUCACCAAGGCGACGAUCCCUAGCUGGUCUGAGAGGAUGACUAGCCACACUGGAACUGAGACACGGUCCAGACUCCUACGGGAGGCAGCAGUGGGGAAUAUUGCACAAUGGGCGCAAGCCUGAUG